AUUGAACGCUGGCGGCAGGCUUAACACAUGCAAGUCGAGCGGGGUGAUGGUGCUUGCACUAUCACUUAGCGGCGGACGGGUGAGUAAUGCUUAGGAAUCUGCCUAUUAGUGGGGGACAACAUCUCGAAAGGGAUGCUAAUACCGCAUACGUCCUACGGGAGAAAGCAGGGGAUCACUUGUGACCUUGCGCUAAUAGAUGAGCCUAAGUCGGAUUAGCUAGUUGGUGGGGUAAAGGCCUCCCAAGGCGACGAUCUGUAGCGGGUCUGUGAGGAUGAUCCGCCACACUGAGACUGAGACACGGCCCAUACUCCUACGGGAGGCAGCAGUGGGGAAUAUUUGGCAAUGGGGGGAACCCUGAUCCAGCCAUGCCGCGUGUGUGAAGAAGGCCUGAUGGUUGUAAAGCACUUUAAGCGAGGAGGAGGCUCUUUUGGUUAAUACCCAAGAUGAGUGGACGUUACUCGCAGAAUAAGCACCGGCUAACUCUGUGCCAGCCGCCGCCGUAA
rnacentral:rRNA from 1 species